rnacentral:rRNA from 1 species
UACGUAGGGUGCAAGCGUUGUCCGGAAUUAUUGGGCGUAAAGAGCUCGUAGGCGGUUUGUUGCGUCGGCUGUGAAAUCCCGAGGCUCAACCUCGGGUCUGCAGUCGAUACGGGCAAACUGGAGUGUUGCAGGGGAGACUGGAAUUCCUGGUGUAGCGGUGAAAUGCGCAGAUAUCAGGAGGAACACCGGUGGCGAAGGCGGGUCUCUGGGCAACAACUGACGCUGAGGAGCGAAAGCGUGGGGAGCGAACAGG